AUGGCGCAUCCCCGGCCCGCCUUGCCCCAACUUCCUCAGCAGCCCCGGGCGCGGGCAGCGGGCUCAGGAUACAGCGCUGGAGGCGACGGCUGCGCGCCGGAGUCGUGGAGGGGGGCGCGGCGGGGCCCGAGCCCGGCGAGGAGCGCGGCCCGGGGCCUCUGGAAGGGGCGGAAACGCGGGGCAGCCGGGGCUGGGCGCAAGCCCCGCACGCCUGAGGAACGGGCGCUAGCGGACCACGCGAUCAGCGCUCCUGACUCGCCUCUGGAGAAGUUCCCGAGCCGUGGCCGGGCGCGCUUCCUCCUGCGCGCGCUGCCCCGGGCGUCCAGCCUGUGGCCCAGCGGUGGCCUGAGGAGGCUCCAGCCCCAGGGCGGGCUGAAGGGGAGAAUCAUGGAACCAGCCCUAGAUGACUCAGGACCCAAGGGAACAGAUUUUAUGGGUUAAGGGCACAGAAGAUGUUCCAGUGAUUUUGGCUGGCAAUAAAUGUGACCUGGAAGAUGAGUGAGUAGUUGGCAAAGAACAGCGCCAAAACUUGGCAAGACAAUGGUGUAACUGCGCCUUUGUAGAAACUUCUGCAAAGUAUUGAUCUUUGUGAGCUGGUCAGACAGAUAAAUAGAAAAACACCAAUGGAAAAGAAGAAUCCUAAAAAGAAAUCAUGUCUGCUGCUCUAAGCCUGUAGUCAACAGCAGCUCUGAGCCAGAUUACAGGAAUGAAGAACUGUUGCCUGAUUGGAAAGUGCCAGCACUUUAGACUUCAAAAAAUAAUUCUGAAGAGGCUUCUCACGCUGUAUAUAUUAUGUGAAGAAUUUAGAUCUUAUGUUGCUUUGCAUAAGUUCCUGGAGAAGAAAAGUUGCUCUGUGUAUGUAUAUCUCUUGGAAAAUAAGACAAUGGUAUUUCUCCUUUCACAGGUGUGAAAAUAUACUUGACUCUCAUAUGGUUAUACAAAAGAGCAUGGAUGCAUUUCAAAUGUUAGAUAUUGCUGCUAUAAUCAAAUGAUUUCAUAUUGACCUUUUUAUCAUGAUUCUUCCCUAUCGAGCACUAAAAGUUGAACCAUUCUACUUUAUAUGUGUAAUGAUAUUAUGAAAUGUCCCCUCAACCUCAUUGCAGCAGAUAACGUUCUUGAGUCAUUGACUUCAUUUUAUAUUUUAAAAAAUAUGGAAUAUCCUCUGUCAUCAUAUUCGAAUUAAAAUUGUUUGUGCAUAAUGCUUUGGAAAAAUGGGUCUAUUUUCCUGUAGAAGAAAAAAAAAAACCGGAAUAACUGAUUUCUAUGGCUGUUCUCAAACUCCAGAGAUCAU
rnacentral:lncRNA from 1 species